rnacentral:tRNA from 1 species
GACUCCGUAGCUCAGUGGAUAGAGCAUCCGCCUUCUAAGCGGACGGUCGAGCGUUCGAAUCGCCCCGGGGUCGCCA